AACAAACGCUGGCGGCGUGCCUAAUACAUGCAAGUCGAACGGGGUAGCAAUACCUAGUGGCGCACGGGUGAGUAAUACAUGGGUAAUCUGCCUCAAAGUUGGGGAUAACCUUCCGAAAGGAAGGCUAAUACCGAAUAAGACCACAUGAUCUGCGGAUCAAGAGGUCAAAGGUUUUUCGCUUUGAGAUGAGCCCAUGCGGGAUUAGCUAGUUGGUGAGGUAAUGGCUCACCAAGGCCACGAUCCCUAGCUGGUCUGAGAGGAUGAUCAUGCCACACUGGAACUGAGACACGGUCCAGACUCCUACGGGAGGCAGCAGUAGGGAAUAUUGCGCAAUGGGGGAAACCCUGACGCAGCGACGCCGCGUGAGUGAUGAAGGCCUUCGGGUCGUAAAGCUCUGUCGUAUGGGAAUAAUAAACUGAAUGUACCAUACAAGAAAGGAUCGGCUAACUUCGUGCCAGCCGCCGCAGUAA
rnacentral:rRNA from 1 species